rnacentral:lncRNA from 1 species
CCCAGAGGAAAGGCUGCUGUGGGUGCCGUGGUGUGAAGCAGAUGCAGUGAGAGGGGCUGGCUGCUCCUCCGAAGCCAAAUGAUGUAACUCCCGUGAAGCCCUGCAAGAUGUUGGCAGGAGGAGCCCAGUGACAACUCCAACUGUCAACUUCCAGCUUGCUGUACCCAAAUAAUUGAGCCCAGGUUUGCAGGGAGAGCCUGCAGACUAAACCAAAAAUAGGACAACUGGAGUUCUCUGGAGAGUGUUGGGGCAGAGCCAGCAGCAAAUCCAGAGGUUGCUCAGCUCCAGCCAC